UUUAGCUAAAUAGUCUACGCUCUCAUUUCCUUGAACACCAAUAUGUGACGGAGUCCAUAAGAAUUUUACUUCCAAAUAAUUUUCUUUCAAUUUCCACCACAAACUUUUGAUUUCAUAUAUGAUGAAAGACGUUUUAGCAUCUAAGGUUCUUGUUUUCAAUGCUUUUAAGACACUCAUGCUAUCGGAGAUCAGUAACCAUUUAUUAGAUAUAUGUGGGUUUUCUUCUAUAUAUUUAAGAGCGAUUAAAACAGCAUAACAUUCUGCAGUGUAUAUGCUUGCUGAUGCAGGAAUGGAAAGGCCACGUCCAGUUUUCAGAUGAGGAAUUCCCAAAGACCUCAACUCUUCGACGAGUACAUGAAGAUUAACAUUAUUAAAUGCACCAACAAUGUCAAAGAAUAUACUAAUUAAUACUUCAUUAUUUUCCAUAGCUUUAAAGAUGUCUAAAUGAAGAAAUGCAAUACUUUCUCUAGAUGACUUACGGCGUCUGAAUCCAAACUGAUUUGAUGGAAAAUGAUAGCUGCCUAGAGAAUCAUCAUCACAUACUUGCCACUCACAAGACAGAGCCAGUGAAGAUGAAACAAGUGUUAAGUCCAAUGCAUUCUGCCUCCAUCUAUGAGAUCCUACUGUAGUCAUCUGACCAUCAUUCAAGAUUACAAGAUUGUUGUCAUCUAUACUUGCAAGAACAUCCCUACCUCGUGAAUCCAAUUCAGAACAUCCCCAUAAUGUGUGGUGGGCGUUGAAAUCGCCAGCUAUAAAAACUGGCUGUGGCAAAUUUUGGAUUAAAUUAUCUAGUUUUGAUUUACUAUAAUUAAUUGAUGAUUUAGGGGGACAGUAAACACUAACUAAAGUUAAUAAUUUAUCAUUAUAUUGUAUUUGUACAGCUAUGUUUUGUAAUGAGUCAUCAGAGAAUGUAUUGAUAACAUGAAAUCUAAUUUUGUUAUGCAGAAGUAUUGCUACUCCAUUAUGAUCAUUACCUGAAUCUAAUCGUAUAAUAUUAUAACCUUUUACCCUAAAAUUUUGCCUAUUACUAAGCCAAGUUUCACAUAUGAGAGCAGCAUCUAUAUUGUUCUCAUAUAAAAAUUGUGUAAAUUGAAAGCGAUUUUUAAUUAAACUCUGUGCAUUCCAUU